rnacentral:tRNA from 1 species
CGAGGUUCUCGACGCAGAGUUCGCGCUGCUGCAGGCGGAGCUCGAUCGGACGCGGGCCCUGGCGGGCGUGCGACUCGCCGAAUCUCGCC